GGUUAAGCGACUAAGCGUACACGGUGGAUGCCCUGGCAGUCAGAGGCGAUGAAGGACGUGCUAAUCUGCGAUAAGCGUCGGUAAGGUGAUAUGAACCGUUAUAACCGGCGAUUUCCGAAUGGGGAAACCCAGUGUGAUUCGUCACACUAUCAUUAACUGAAUCCAUAGGUUAAUGAGGCGAACCGGGGGAACUGAAACAUCUAAGUACCCCGAGGAAAAGAAAUCAACCGAGAUUCCCCCAGUAGCGGCGAGCGAACGGGGAGCAGCCCAGAGCCUGAAUCAGUGUGUGUGUUAGUGGAAGCGUCUGGAAAGGCGUGCGAUACAGGGUGACAGCCCCGUACACAAAAAUGCACAUGCUGUGAGCUCGAUGAGUAGGGCGGGACACGUGGUAUCCUGUCUGAAUAUGGGGGGACCAUCCUCCAAGGCUAAAUACUCCUGACUGACCGAUAGUGAACCAGUACCGUGAGGGAAAGGCGAAAAGAACCCCGGCGAGGGGAGUGAAAAAGAACCUGAAACCGUGUACGUACAAGCAGUGGGAGCACGCUUAGGCGUGUGACUGCGUACCUUUUGUAUAAUGGGUCAGCGACUUAUAUUCUGUAGCAAGGUUAACCGAAUAGGGGAGCCGAAGGGAAACCGAGUCUUAACUGGGCGUUAAGUUGCAGGGUAUAGACCCGAAACCCGGUGAUCUAGCCAUGGGCAGGUUGAAGGUUGGGUAACACUAACUGGAGGACCGAACCGACUAAUGUUGAAAAAUUAGCGGAUGACUUGUGGCUGGGGGUGAAAGGCCAAUCAAACCGGGAGAUAGCUGGUUCUCCCCGAAAGCUAUUUAGGUAGCGCCUCGUGAAUUCAUCUCCGGGGGUAGAGCACUGUUUCGGCAAGGGGGUCAUCCCGACUUACCAACCCGAUGCAAACUGCGAAUACCGGAGAAUGUUAUCACGGGAGACACACGGCGGGUGCUAACGUCCGUCGUGAAGAGGGAAACAACCCAGACCGCCAGCUAAGGUCCCAAAGUCAUGGUUAAGUGGGAAACGAUGUGGGAAGGCCCAGACAGCCAGGAUGUUGGCUUAGAAGCAGCCAUCAUUUAAAGAAAGCGUAAUAGCUCACUGGUCGAGUCGGCCUGCGCGGAAGAUGUAACGGGGCUAAACCAUGCACCGAAGCUGCGGCAGCGACGCUUAUGCGUUGUUGGGUAGGGGAGCGUUCUGUAAGCCUGCGAAGGUGUGCUGUGAGGCAUGCUGGAGGUAUCAGAAGUGCGAAUGCUGACAUAAGUAACGAUAAAGCGGGUGAAAAGCCCGCUCGCCGGAAGACCAAGGGUUCCUGUCCAACGUUAAUCGGGGCAGGGUGAGUCGACCCCUAAGGCGAGGCCGAAAGGCGUAGUCGAUGGGAAACAGGUUAAUAUUCCUGUACUUGGUGUUACUGCGAAGGGGGGACGGAGAAGGCUAUGUUGGCCGGGCGACGGUUGUCCCGGUUUAAGCGUGUAGGCUGGUUUUCCAGGCAAAUCCGGAAAAUCAAGGCUGAGGCGUGAUGACGAGGCACUACGGUGCUGAAGCAACAAAUGCCCUGCUUCCAGGAAAAGCCUCUAAGCAUCAGGUAACAUCAAAUCGUACCCCAAACCGACACAGGUGGUCAGGUAGAGAAUACCAAGGCGCUUGAGAGAACUCGGGUGAAGGAACUAGGCAAAAUGGUGCCGUAACUUCGGGAGAAGGCACGCUGAUAUGUAGGUGAAGUCCCUCGCGGAUGGAGCUGAAAUCAGUCGAAGAUACCAGCUGGCUGCAACUGUUUAUUAAAAACACAGCACUGUGCAAACACGAAAGUGGACGUAUACGGUGUGACGCCUGCCCGGUGCCGGAAGGUUAAUUGAUGGGGUUAGCGCAAGCGAAGCUCUUGAUCGAAGCCCCGGUAAACGGCGGCCGUAACUAUAACGGUCCUAAGGUAGCGAAAUUCCUUGUCGGGUAAGUUCCGACCUGCACGAAUGGCGUAAUGAUGGCCAGGCUGUCUCCACCCGAGACUCAGUGAAAUUGAACUCGCUGUGAAGAUGCAGUGUACCCGCGGCAAGACGGAAAGACCCCGUGAACCUUUACUAUAGCUUGACACUGAACAUUGAGCCUUGAUGUGUAGGAUAGGUGGGAGGCUUUGAAGUGUGGACGCCAGUCUGCAUGGAGCCGACCUUGAAAUACCACCCUUUAAUGUUUGAUGUUCUAACGUUGACCCGUAAUCCGGGUUGCGGACAGUGUCUGGUGGGUAGUUUGACUGGGGCGGUCUCCUCCUAAAGAGUAACGGAGGAGCACGAAGGUUGGCUAAUCCUGGUCGGACAUCAGGAGGUUAGUGCAAUGGCAUAAGCCAGCUUGACUGCGAGCGUGACGGCGCGAGCAGGUGCGAAAGCAGGUCAUAGUGAUCCGGUGGUUCUGAAUGGAAGGGCCAUCGCUCAACGGAUAAAAGGUACUCCGGGGAUAACAGGCUGAUACCGCCCAAGAGUUCAUAUCGACGGCGGUGUUUGGCACCUCGAUGUCGGCUCAUCACAUCCUGGGGCUGAAGUAGGUCCCAAGGGUAUGGCUGUUCGCCAUUUAAAGUGGUACGCGAGCUGGGUUUAGAACGUCGUGAGACAGUUCGGUCCCUAUCUGCCGUGGGCGCUGGAGAAUUGAGGGGGGCUGCUCCUAGUACGAGAGGACCGGAGUGGACGCAUCACUGGUGUUCGGGUUGUCAUGCCAAUGGCACUGCCCGGUAGCUAAAUGCGGAAGAGAUAAGUGCUGAAAGCAUCUAAGCACGAAACUUGCCCCGAGAUGAGUUCUCCCUGACUCCUUGAGAGUCCUGAAGGAACGUUGAAGACGACGACGUUGAUAGGCCGGGUGUGUAAGCGCAGCGAUGCGUUGAGCUAACCGGUACUAAUGAACCGUGAGGCUUAACCUUAC
rnacentral:rRNA from 1 species